rnacentral:lncRNA from 1 species
AGAAAAUGCGAAACAUGUUAGGAUGUAAAUAAAAUGACUAGUCCUCAUUAUUUAACUAAGAAAUCCAAUGGUUCAAACUAUUUGUUGAACCUAUUUCUUGAUUUCCUUAUUUAUUCAUUUCACAAUUUUGUAAUUCAAUUUUUCAAUGCCUAAGUGACUGGAUAGAAAUCACGAGGAUGUGUAUUUGUUCUGGAAUUGGUUAUUGAGAGGAAAAGGGUCGAUUUUCCUACCCCCAGAGGGAAAGGUAUUUUCAUUUUGGACCAGUUGUAGGAAAGGAGGGAUUCAAACCCCUGACAUCAUGGUUCGUAGCCACGCCCUCUAAUCCUCGUUCCAUCUACAGCUCGUUUAUUAUGAUUCUUAUGAACAAGAAAGACGAGAAAACAUUAGAAAUUUCUUCCUACCUGAAAGCUUUUCAGGUUUCUUAUCAUUAUCCUCUGCUUUACUUUUGAUCUUUGUCAAAGUUUUAUCACCUCCACUAUUUGUCCUUCUGUGGUCAUAUUCGCUCUUUUCUUCAAUUGAUGUUACAGCAAAUGCAGCUGCAGCCACCGCAGCUGGAUAGUCAACGCUAUCACUGGAAUCAUAAUCACGACUCAUUGUCCUUAUAAACUGUUUGUGCAACCAGCUAGGUAAUCUUUUCGUGUCUGCCAAAACAAAAACUAAAUUUUAAGAAUGUUCUUGUUUUCCCAUGAUUUAAAUUUUGAGUCUGAGUUACUACCUUUUAAAGGUUGAGUUUUCUGUGGUGGUAUUGUUCUAUCUCUUGUACUGCUGCUGCUGCUUCCUUUCUCUUCUUCUCCUAUACCGGUAAAUUUCACCCUAGAACAGUUGUGUUAAUUGCAACACGAUGAAAAAGUUAUUUCUUAUGCUAGAAUUUGAAGUUGACGGUCGUUACCUCAUUUGCUUAAGCAUAUCCAUUCUUUCUUUGUGUAAUGGAGCCUUAUAUUGAAGCUAUUUCAAAGAUCAGAUAAAAAAUUCAAACUUUUUAUUUGAAGAAGCACAAGAAAAAAGGAAGCUUUUUUGUCAGGUAUAAAAGCUUUGUUGCUUUUGAAGGAAUUUUAAUGACUAAGUUAAGGUAUCUUUGCAUGUAAGGCUUUGGUUUUGGAUCUUCAAACAAAGUUAUCAAGCAUUCUUUUCUUGUGCUAAAUGCUUUGCUUUUUCUUGAAGUGAUUCAAAUUCCGUUUAAGAGUUGACGUCAAAAACACACCUUAAGUAUCCCAUUUUGUCGAGUUUCAUACUUGUACUAUCACCUACUAUUUAUCAAAGCACACCUCAGUUCAGGUAGGAUACUCAGGUAUGAAACUCGAAAAACCGCGGUACUUUAGGUAUGUCGAGAAAGUUGAAAAAGUAGGAAUCUUGAGUUCUUUUCAGGUUAUAUAGAUUCAAAUUCCUUAAUCAGAAACCAACAGAGGAAAUAAAGAAAGCAAAACUGACAAUGUAAUAUAAAGCAACUUUACUAAAACAAUAAAAUAAACUAAAGUUUAAUCUGAAACUUCUAAACAUAUUGAUAAGAAGGACCUAAUGUAUUUAUCCAUAUCUAAAAACUAAACUAAUAAAUUAAACUCUGUGAAUUCUCUAUGCACAAGCAGGAGCCUGGAACCCUCUCAGGGUAGCAAAGACGAUAGAUUGAGGAGCAACACUGAUGGGCAAUGUUGGAUCAACGAGCUUAGGCUUCAUUACCGGGAUGUCCAAUGAGGAAGUGAGCUUCAACGGAGUUCCAUUUAGCAACAAGACAUCACUCUGAAUGUUUCCAUCUUUUGGAGUCAAAUGGUACUCUUCUCUUGGAUGUAUAGACUCAACACUAUCAGGAUUUGGAUUUAUAUACUCAACAGACGCAACACUUUCAGCGUACAUAUUCAAGUCAUUGACAACAGAGACAUCAAAGGUAGUUGACUUAUCCAUGUUGAUUAGUAGAACUGUAAUACCCUGAAAGACAUAAACAAGGAAUUUUCAGAGAAAGUGUAUGCAGACCUUACUCCUACCUCGUCGAGGUAGAGAGACUGUUUCUGAAAAAGACCAUAGUAAAGUUGAAAUCUUUGAUAGCGUUGUUGUAACUUACACUUGUCUUUGAGCAAUGUGCGUAAGUGCGGAUGUAAGGAGAGCCUUCAUGAGUAAUAGAAAGCACAUUCUUUCCCAUAAGCUUAUGCCAUAGAAGAGCACUGCAGAUAUCAUCAAGAAACUUGUAAGAUACCUGAACUUUAGUAUGAAAUAAGGAAAUUUUAGAUCACGAGAAUCGCGUUUUAAGUACCCAUAGUAAUCUGGAUUUGGGACGAAACUUGUUGUGUUGAGAAGACCAUAGUUUCCUCCUAUUAAAGAUUGUCUGCAGUAUACCUUAUGGUUGAAAGUUGAUGUCAUUCCCAAUUGAUCCAAGUACCUACAACAACACCAAUACUAACAUAAGAACAUUUGUUUUACGUGUUAUCACGUGUUAUCAGGCUUGAUAUGAAGAGUUACCAGAAACCGUUAACGAAGGUGUGUGAAGUGGUUUUGCCACCACUAUUAUAAGCUCCACCAGAUUCACCAACCCAAGGUCCAGAUGAUGGGGAAAACAACUUAGCAUCAUUU